GACGAACGCUGGCGGCGUGCUUAACACAUGCAAGUCGAACGGAAAGGCUCCAGCUUGCUGGCGUACUCGAGUGGCGAACGGGUGAGUAACACGUGGGUAAUCUGCCCUGCACUCUGGGAUAAGCCUGGGAAACUGGGUCUAAUACUGGAUAUGACCUUUCUCCUUAUGGGGUUUGGUGGAAAGUUUUUCGGUGUAGGAUGAGCCCGCGGCCUAUCAGCUUGUUGGUGGGGUGAUGGCCUACCAAGGCGACGACGGGUAGCCGGCCUGAGAGGGUGAUCGGCCACAUUGGGACUGAGAUACGGCCCAGACUCCUACGGGAGGCAGCAGUGGGGAAUAUUGCACAAUGGGCGGAAGCCUGAUGCAGCGACGCCGCGUGAGGGAUGACGGCCUUCGGGUUGUAAACCUCUUUCAGCAGGGACGAAGCGUAAGUGGCGGUACCUGCAGAAGAAGCACCGGCUAACUAUGUG
rnacentral:rRNA from 1 species